CCAUUUUAAACAAAAACACUCCAAUACAUUUUCAUUUCAUGCAGAAAUGAAGAAAUGGCACGGAUUCUACGAAAUCGCGAUAGUAAGUUCGAAAAUUUCUACCAUUU